AUUGAACGCUGGCGGCAUGCCUUACACAUGCAAGUCGGACGAGUGGCGAACGGGUGAGUAACACAUCGGAACGCAACGAGUAAUGGGGGAUAACUAAUCGAAAACAUAGCUAAAAACGCACAUUAGUCGAGAGGCCGAUAUCUGACUAGCUGGCUGGUGGGGGAAAGGCCUACCAAGGCGACGAUCAGUAGCGGGUCUGAGAGGAUGAUCCGCCACACUGGAACUGAGACACGGCCCAGACUCCUACGGGAGGCAGCAGUGGGGAAUUUUGGACAAUGGGCGCAAGCCUGAUCCAGCCAUGCCGCGUGUCUGAAGAAGGCCUUCGGGUUGUAAAGGACUUUUGUCAGGGAAGCGGUACCUGAAGAAUAAGCACCGGCUAACUACGUGCCAGCCGCCGCGGUAAUUC
rnacentral:rRNA from 1 species